rnacentral:rRNA from 1 species
AGCGAACGCUGGCGGCAGGCCUAACACAUGCAAGUCGAACGAUCCUUCGGGAUAGUGGCGGACGGGUGAGUAACACGUGGGAACGUACCUUUAGGUUCGGGAUAACUCAGGGAAACUUGAGCUAAUACCGGAUAAGCCCUUUUGGGGAAAGAUUUAUCGCCUUUAGAGCGGCCCGCGUUAGAUUAGCUAGUUGGUGAGGUAAAGGCUCACCAAGGCUCCGAUCUAUAGCUGGUCUGAGAGGAUGAUCAGCCACCCUGGGACUGAGACACGGCCCAGACUCCUACGGGAGGCAGCAGUGGGGAAUCUUGCGCAAUGGGCGAAAGCCUGACGCAGCCAUGCCGCGUGAAUGAUGAAGGUCUUAGGAUUGUAAAAUUCUUUUAGCAGGGACGAUAAUGACGGUACCUGCAGAAAAAGCCCCGGCUAACUUCGUGCCAGCCGCCGCCGUAACAC